rnacentral:tRNA from 1 species
UCCCCGGCAGUCCAGUGGUUAAGACACUGCGCUUGCAAUGCAGGGGUCACUGGUUCCAUCCCUGGUUGGGGAC